rnacentral:rRNA from 1 species
AACGAACGCUGGCGGCAUGCCUAACACAUGCAAGUCGAACGAGACCUUCGGGUCUAGUGGCGCACGGGUGCGUAACGCGUGGGAAUCUGCCCCUUGGUUCGGAAUAACAGCGAGAAAUUGCUGCUAAUACCGGAUAAUGACGUAAGUCCAAAGAUUUAUCGCCAAGGGAUGAGCCCGCGUAGGAUUAGCUAGUUGGUGUGGUAAAGGCGCACCAAGGCGACGAUCCUUAGCUGGUCUGAGAGGAUGAUCAGCCACACUGGGACUGAGACACGGCCCAGACUCCUACGGGAGGCAGCAGUGGGGAAUAUUGGACAAUGGGCGAAAGCCUGAUCCAGCAAUGCCGCGUGAGUGAUGAAGGCCUUAAGGUUGUAAAGCUCUUUUACCCGGGAAGAUAAUGACUGUACCGGGAGGAAUAAGCCCCGGCUAACUCCGUGCCAGCAGCCGCGGUAAUGUGAC